rnacentral:rRNA from 1 species
AAAUUGAAGAGUUUGAUCAUGGCUCAGAUUGAACGCUGGCGGCAGGCCUAACACAUGCAAGUCGAACGGUAACAGGAAACAGCUUGCUGUUUCGCUGACGAGUGGCGG